GAUACCGAGUCGUACUGCUAUUUCAGCACAGGUGUAAGAUGUCAUUACAUGAAGUGUCGCAGACACAGGAAGCUCGUGGGAGUGUUUAUACACUAUCUAACAGGAUUUGACAUUUACUGUGGAUUGGACAGGUGAUGUUAACAGGUGAUUAUAAUCAUGGUUUGGUACAAAAGCAGCAUCCAGGAAAGGCUGAGUCUUUGAUGAGCAAAGAUGAUCAGAGGAUCUCCAGUUUGUCAACAAAUGCGUGAGAAAAUGAUUGAAGUGUUUAAAAACAAUGUACCUCAAAGAAAGAUCGGAAAUAAUUUACAUAUUUCUCCUUCUACAGUGCAUAAUAUCAUUAAACAAUUCAAGGAAUUUCAGUGCGUAAAGGCCAAGGGUGCAAGCUUAAGCUGAACGCCCGUGAUCUUCGAUCCCUCAGACGGCACUGCAUCAAGUACCGCCACUCAACAAUAGCUGAUACAACCACAUGGAAGCGGCGUUGACAUCUCUGGGCUCGGAGGCAUCUAGGAUGGACCAUCACACAGUGGAAACGUGUACUGUGGUCAGAUGAAUCAGCAUUCCAGGUCUUUUUUGGAAAAAAUGUACGACGUGUGUUCCGGACCAAAGACGAAAAGGACCAUCCAGACUGUUAUCAGCAACAAGUCCAAAAGCCAGGGUCAGCAAAGACCCAGAGUCAUACCAGGACUUAACGAUUUAAGUUAGUAUCUGAAGUUGAAACCAUGUGCAAGAACACUGAUUAGCCAAAAUAUUAGGAUGACCCACGCAAUAUGCUGCCUAAACAGCUCUGAUCCACUUUGGCAUGGACUUCACAAGACAUCUGAUACCAGGACAUUACCAGCACGUCCUUCAUAUUUUGUAGAACCCCAGAUCAGAAAAAGUUAAGUGUUUCUUAC